ACGCUUCGGCAGCAUAUAUACUAAAAUUGGAACGAUACAGAGAAGAUUAGCAUGGCUCCUGUGCUAUAAUAUACUUUUUGAGGUGCGCUGACCAGAAUUGUA